AUGUUCGUUUUGGCAGCACAUGUACUAAAAUUGGAAUGAUACGGAGAAGAUUAGCAUGGCCCCUGCACAAAGAUGACUUGCAAAUUCAUGAAGCAUUCCAUAUUUUC
rnacentral:snRNA from 1 species